rnacentral:rRNA from 1 species
AGCAGCCGCGGUAAUUCCAGCUCCAAUAGCGUAUAUUAAAGUUGUUGCAGUUAAAAAGCUCGUAGUUGAACUUCGGGGUUCACCCAUUGGUCAGGCUUAAUUGUCUGUACUGGUGAGAUGAGUCUCUACCUUCUGAGGAACUUUCAUGCCAUUUAUUUGGUGUGAUGGGAAAUCAGGGCUGUUACUUUGAAAAAAUUAGAGUGUUUAAAGCAGGCUAACGUCUGAAUACAUUAGCAUGGAAUAAUGAAAUAGGACGGAUUGAUUCUAUUUCGUUGGUUUCUAGGGUCACCGUAAUGAUUAAUAGGGAUAGUUGGGGGCAUUAGUAUUCAAUUGUCAGAGGUGAAAUUCUUGGAUUUAUUGAAGACUAACUACUGCGAAAGCAUUUGCCAAGGAUGUUUUCAUUAAUCAAGAACGAAAGUUAGGGGAUCGAAGACGAUCAGAUACCGUCGUAGUCUUAACCAUAAACUAUGCCGACUAGGGAUCGGACGAAGUUAAUUUUAUAAUGACGCGUUCGGCACCU